rnacentral:rRNA from 1 species
CAUAGCGACUAUCGUGGCAUAUCAAUAAGCGGAGGAAAAGAAACUAACUAGGAUUCCCUUAGUAACGGCGAGUGAAGCGGGAAGAGCUCAAAUUUGAAAUCUUCAAGGUUCUACCUUGACGAAUUGUAGUUUAAAGAAGUGUUUUCUGUUGGAGUUUUGGUAAAAGUUCUUUGGAAUAGGACAUCAUAGAGGGUGAGAAUCCCGUAUUUGACCAUUUCUUCCAGCUGUGUGAUACACUUUCAAAGAGUCGGAUUGUUUGGGAAUGCAGUCCAAAAUGGGUGGUAAAUUUCAUCUAAAGCUAAAUAUUGGCGAGAGACCGAUAGCGAACAAGUACCGUGAGGGAAAGAUGAAAAGAACUUUGAAAAGAGAGUUAAACAGUACGUGAAAUUGUCAAAAGGGAAGCGUUUGACACCAGUGUUGUUUUCUCGAAAAUCAAUUAAAAAUGGCCGGAUUUUGUGUUGUAUUGACUUUAUCAGCUUUCUGCACUUUUUUCUUGUCUUUUUUAAUGCACUUUUCGUUUAACAAGUCAACAUCAAUUUCUUUUGUUGUAAAAGAGUCAUUGGAAGGUGGCUUUCAUUUCGGUGAAAGUGUUUAUAGCCUUUGACUUCUGCAAUCGGAGAGAUUGAGGUCUGCAGCGUAGAUCCUUCGGGGUUAGAUACAUUUAUGCUAAGUUAUAGUUUUUCAUAGACAACAUGUUGACUAUGAUUAAUCAUGUAGCUUACUCGCUUAUGCUAUUUUACCUACGCUUAGGAUGUUGAUAGUCACAGCGUGUAC